rnacentral:rRNA from 1 species
GACGAACCGAGCGAACGUUGUUCGGAAUUACUGGGCGUAAAGGGCGCGUAGGCGGAUGUUUAAGUCAGAGGUGAAAGCCCAGGGCUCAACCUUGGAACCGCCUUUGAUACUGGACAUCUUGAGUAUGGGAGAGGUGAGUGGAACUCCGAGUGUAGAGGCGAAAUUCGUAGAUAUUCGGAAGAACACCAGUGGCGAAGGCGACUCACUGGCCCAUUACUGACGCUGAGGCGCGAAAGCGUGGGGAGCAAACAGG